GGAAGAGUGAUGCUUCAGUGGCCGAGCAUCUGCUUGGCAUGCAGAAGGCCCCAGGCUCAAUUCCCAGCAUUUCCA
rnacentral:tRNA from 1 species